rnacentral:rRNA from 1 species
GACGAACGCUGGCGGCGUGCUUAACACAUGCAAGUCGAGCGGUAAGGCCUCUUCGGGGGUACCCGAGCGGCGAACGGGUGAGUAACACGUGGGUGACCUUCCCUCAGCUCUGUUUUAAGCCUGGGAAACUGGGUCUAAUUACGGAUAUGCCCUUUCCUCGCUUCGGGUUUGGUGGAAAGUUUUUUCGGCCUUGGAUGGGGCGGUGAACCGUCAGCAUGUUGGUUGGGUGGUGGCCUACCGAGGCGACGACGCGUAGCCGGGGUGAGAGGACGACGGGCCACACUGGGACGGAGGCACGGCCCAGACACCUUCGGGAGGGAGCGGUGGGGAAAAUUAGGCAAAGGGCGGAAGCCUGACGGGGCGACGCGGCGUGGAGGAUGUCGGCCGUGGAGUAGUAGCACUAUUUCGACCCCGAGGAAUUUGGACGGUAGGGGUAGAAGAAGCACCGGCCAACUACGUG